AGAUCAGGAACCGCCGCAGUCCCGCUCGCCUCCCUGCUUGCCUGUCCCCCUUUCUUUAUUUCUCGCGCCCCUCGCCAAGGGUCCUCCAUUUCUCCAAACCGGAUUAUUUAAAAGAGUAAAAGAAAGAAAGAAAGAAAAAAGUCCAUCUCAUUGCUCUAACCGCCAUUCAGGAGGCUGGAUGUCAGUUUUGAAAGAAACGGCGCUAUUCUCCACUUCUAGAUUUGGGAAACGAGCGAAAUUAAAGAAAAUUGCUGCGACAUCUGGACACUGAGUGGCGCUGGCGCCGCUGGAGCAGCGGGCACAGCGCCGGACCAGGUGAGAAAACUGAGGCCUAGAGGAACUCAUAUCUUGGAUACUUUAUGGCCAGCAGGUGCCAGGACUGGAAUCACUAAGAGGGUCUUUGAACUACAAGUCUUGUGCUCUUUCUGUUUUACUAAAGACCAGAGUCAAUAGGGAGUGAGCUAUUGAUGGGUCAUUUGUGCAGACAGAAGAUCACUGAAUAUUGGAGCUUUUCUUUGUUCUCUUCCUUUGGCCUAAAAACUGACUCAGAGAAUGGAGGAAAAUGAUUUUCUGUUUUUUAAAAUGAUUUUCUAUUUUGGAUCAGCAAAUUCAUCCCUCAGGCAGAGACAGGAGAGGGCAUUUUUUUUUUAACAUUCCUUGUCUGUGCCACCGCACCCAACCUCCAGCCCUGACAUUCCAGGACAUUGGCUUUUUCCUUCAGAUAUCCCUUGAUUAUCAAAAUUCUGUGAGAAAUUUCCUUAAAUAUUGCACAUGCUCAAACUGAAAGCUCCAAAGGUAUAAGACAAAAGACACUGUAAGAUAAAUAAACUAUUAUUUGGACAUAUAUAACAAAACAUCAACCUCUAGAAUAUGUAAAUAAAUACAUAAAUGAGAAAAAAAUACCUUUUGGAAAAAUUAGCAAAUAAUAUGAUGGCUAAGUGAUAUACAAAUAGUCAAAUGGCCAAAAUUAGGAAAAUAUAUUGUUUUACUCAUUAGUAAAGAAAUGUAACAAAAAAUGCUGACAUAUACCUAUAUGUGUGGCAAAAAUAAAAGGAGUGAUAACAUUAGCAAAGUUGUGAGAAAAUAAUCAUUCUUAUAUACUAUUGUAACUUGGGGCAUUCAUUUUGAGAGGCAACUUUGCAGUACUUAUCAAAACUGUAUGUGCGUAUACAUACCCUUUGACUCAGCAAUUCCACUCCUAGAACCUACAUAAUUAUGCAAAUAUAUACACACAUAAAUAUAUGUAUGGAAAUAUAUAUUAUAUAUGCAGUGUGUGCAUAUAUAUAUAUGUAUAGCAAUGAAUAUUACAUAUGUAUGCAUGUAUGCAUUACCCUUCGACUCAGCAAUUCCACUCCUAUAAGUGGAAUUAUGUAAGUAUGAAAACAUGCCCCUGACUCUGUGGGCAGAGCAGAGGUUUGGAAACCAAAUUUCUGAAAUAGAACCUUUCAUGUCUCUGUU
rnacentral:lncRNA from 1 species